rnacentral:rRNA from 1 species
UACGUAGGUGGCAAGCGUUGUCCGGAUUUAUUGGGUUUAAAGGGUGCGUAGGCGGUCUUUUAAGUCAGUGCUGAAAUCCUCCAGCUUAACUGGAGGGGUGGCAUUGAUACUGGAAGACUUGAGUGCAGUCGAGGUAGGCGGAAUUGACGGUGUAGCGGUGAAAUGCUUAGAUAUCGUCAAGAACACCGAUAGUGAAGACAGCUUACUAGGCUGCAACUGACGCUGAGGCACGAAAGUGUGGGGAGCAAACAGG